UACAGAGGUCCCAAGCGUUGUUCGGAAUUACUGGGCGUAAAGCGCGCGUAGGCGGCUUUGUAAGUUAGAGGUGAAAGCCCAGGGCUCAACCCUGGAAUUGCCUUUAAGACUGCAUCGCUUGAACAUCGGAGAGGUAAGUGGAAUUCCGAGUGUAGAGGUGAAAUUCGUAGAUAUUCGGAAGAACACCAGUGGCGAAGGCGACUUACUGGACGAUUGUUGACGCUGAGGUGCGAAAGCGUGGGGAGCAAACAGG
rnacentral:rRNA from 1 species